GGCCGCCUGGCGAAAUGGCAUCGCGUCUGACUACGAUGCUUGUUAAUCAGGAGAUUGCAGGUUCGACCCCUGCGGUGGUCA
rfam:Phlebia centrifuga strain FBCC195 PHLCENscaffold_880, whole genome shotgun sequence.